CCUUGAUUCCUUCUGUCCUUGAUUCAUUCUGUCCUUGAUUCCUUCUGUGCUUGAUUUGUCCUGUACUUGAUUCCUCCUGUGCUUGAAUCCUCCUGUCCUUGAUUCUAGAAACAGAACACUGAGCCAAUCACGGCGCAACUAGGGAACAUCACCACCCCCUAUGCUCCAUAUUUUCCACUGUCUGCCCCACCACCACAGAAAGCACUGAGCCAGGCUGAAACACCUGCAUUUUGGAGCUGCCUUACUCAAGAAAACAAAAAAGAGACCAUUAAGGAUGCAUGUGAUCUAUGACUUCAUGGCCAGGAACCACUAGGAGCUGAGCAUUUUGAAGAGAGAGGUGGUCCAGAAUCCCCUCCUCUCGACCGGGACAAAGUGAGGCGAAAAGUUCAUUCUCAC